GGGAGAGGAGAAAGAAAAAUGAAUCCUGUGUAUCCUGUGUACACCCGUAACCGAGCCUGAUCACCUCGAAGCCUCUCUCUCAGCUCACGUGUAUCAAACAGAGCUGCUACGUUUACCGGUCGUUAUGCGUUGGUUCGUGUUUGAGUACGUGACUUCUUUGCUCUCACUGCCACAGGGGAUGGCUGGGCGGAGAAAUUCAUGACCAGUAAGAUCAAGUGAACUUGCAGAGAACUAUCCACGAUGA